rfam:Triticum aestivum genome assembly, contig: Triticum_aestivum_CS42_TGACv1_scaffold_306214_4AS
GUACUACUCCCUCCGUUCUAAAUUAUUUGUCUUGGAUUUGUCUAGAUACGGAUGUAUCGAUACAUCCGUAUUUAGACAAAUCUAAGACAAGUAACUCGGAACGAAGGGAGUACCUU